GUUUCCCAGCUGAUCCGAGGGGGGGUUAAAGAGUUUAUUCAGCUUCAGGAGGAGGAGAGUUUCCUCAGCACGUGAAGGAAACUCUUCAUCCUUCAGCUCGUCACAAACAUUCACAUUCAGAAUCACCCAAUUUGGAGAUAGGGGAUGAAAAAUUGUAAUCUGAAAAGUAACUAAAGCUGUCAGACAAAUGUAGCGGAGUAAAAAGUCCAAUAUUUGCCUCUGAGAUGUGGCGGAGUAGAAAUAUAAAGUUGCAAAAAACAGAAAUACUCAAGUAAAGUAUAAGUACGUCAUAUUUGUACUUAAGAACAGUACUUGAGUAAAUGUACUUAGUUACAUUCCACCACUGCCAGUUUUGUAUGAGUGAUGUCAACGGUCCCAAUAUUUUUAAAUUAAUCAUAGUGUGAAUCAGCUUCUGGGAUCGUUGAUGAAGAAUAAAUCUUUCGGAGAAUGUUUGUACGUUUGGCCCAACCGAUCAUGUGAUCAGUGAGGUCGAGGCUGCGUUCACCGGCUGCCUGCGGAGGCCGGUCAGCAGUUUUAAAAAAGAAGAUUCGUUCUUGGACCAAACACUUUGAUAACUUCACCAAGAGGAAAGUCUGAUGCACCAACAGCAAGACAACACAAGGAAGCAUUUUAAAGAGUAGCAUAACAUUAAAUUCACUUUUCUGAGUUAGUAAAUCCCAUUACAGUCACUUUAUUACAUUAUUUAUUGAUCCAGGGUUUAUUGCAACAGAAGUCUUUUUUCUUUUUUCCAGAGAAAUCCAGUCUUUCUGUCCACUCGACCCCCCAAAAAUCUGUAAAAAAUCUACAACGUACCCUGUUAGACACUCCGCCUACAAACUACGAGGUUUUUCCCAGUUUGGUGUAGAACAGCUCGACCGGCCUCAACCCCAUCCAGCACCUUUGGGAUGAACUGGAACCCCCCGACUGCGAGCCAGACCUGAUCACCAGCAUCGGUGCUGGACCUCGCCGAUGCUCUGGUGUCUGAAAGGGAGCAGAUCCCUGCAGCGGGUUCAGCAUCUGCUGGAAAGACUGAGACCAGCAGAGAGGAGGCUGUCAGAGCAGCACGUUAACGAACACAUAUGUCACAGUCACAUGUCACACUGUCGCACAUGGAGGGAAAAUUUUGGUCUCCAUAAAAAAAUAAAACACGUCACACACAGCUCUUCUCCAGUACAACACGCUACCAAAUAUUUGUCUGAGGCUGUUUCCUGUUGCCUUAUAUACAUCAUCAGUCAUGUGACUGAUAAAUCACCAUAGAUACCAUGUAUGCAAAGCAAUAUUAUCAUCAUGCAUUUCUUAAAAAAUGCAAUUUACAAAAUAUCUUUGCUCUAAGUUGAAAUUUAAAUGGCCAUAAAUACAGAACAUAAUAUUACAAUCAUCUUUUCAGAAUAUUCUUCAUCAUGUAGUUUGUCAUUGUAGUUUGACAAAUCAAUCAACUAUUCAACACUACAUCAAACAUCUGGUCAGUCAAGCAUUAAAACCGUGUGAUCAGCCAAUCAGCAUCUGAUCAAUCACAAUGAAAGUACUAAAACAAUCAACUGUUUAAUUUGCAGAUCGAGUGGUUGACUGAUCCGCCAAUAACCUGAUUGAUCAGUUCAUUAAUAGGCCACUUGUCUGUUUUAUCAGCUGAUUUGAAUGAUUGUCUGGCGCUGAUCAGCCAGCAGAACAGCUCUUUGGCCAAACAAGUAAUCAGCCAAUCAAACCCGUGAUUAACAAAUCCAACACCCGAUCAGCCAAUGAAACAGCUGCUCAGCCGAUCACCUGGUCUGCAAAUCAAACACCUGAUAAAACACCUGAUCAGGCAACCAAUGAAACAGCAGUUCAACAUCAGUUAAUAUAUCAGUCAACCAGUUAGUCAAAUAGCCAAUAAGGCUGCCGGUAAGCCAACCAAUGAGUCAAUCAGACAGGCAGCCAGUCAGUUAAUCAAUCGGUCUUUCAGAUCUGCAGGAGCAGUUUUAUUUAAAGGUCCGGACACUGAACUGUCUCUAUGAAAGUUCCAUAGUAACUGUGUGUUACGUGUGAACCACACUGUGACACUAACAGCUCAGAUCAGUUUGAUCUCUCGGUCCAUCUGUGGGUCCAGAAACUCUGCAGGACCUGAAACCAACAGGACCACAGCGCUGCUCCAGUGUGAAAACACUUCAGCUGAGAGUCACAACUACGAGCCGCAGAGGAGAGACUCUGAGGAGAUGCUGGACCACAUGGAGUGACACUGACCAGACCGUCCGAAUUAGACUGCAAGUUAACUUCGAUGUGGGUCAGAAACAGGCCAGAACUGGGACAGACCUACACCGGGACCAGGAUCUUAGCCUCAACUUCAAGCAGUCUGCAAUACUAACAUUAGUCCUUAAAUCUUGUAAUAUUAAAAACCGAACUUGUAUUGCUACGACAGGAUCAUAUCUGCCAAGUUAUUUCUUGUGAAGUGACAGAUUUGAAUAAAAUAGUGAAACCUGUGAAAAACAA